CCGGUUCAGCUCUGCACUCAUCUCUCUUCCCCUCCCACGAAGACGAAGAAGAAGAAGGGUAAUGGCGGGACUUCUUGCAUGGGCUGCCGACGUUGUCGGCGGACAUGGAAGAAGGACAACGACGAGAAAGAUCGGAUCCCUCUGAUUUUUAUUACGAAAUACGCGGAGGAGCUUGACCGGAAAGCCGCCGCUCUCAGCCGUUCGAUCCGAGAUCUACGUCUAAAAUUGCUUCCUCCGGUCUUCUCUCUGCAUCUCCAUCACCUCCUCGCUCACUCGCUCGCCUCCGGUUCCGCUCUCGCUGUUCAGCUCAACUCUCAUUCCACUACUCGUGAACAGUUUCCAGGAUUCGGAUCUUGGUUUCGGAUUAGUUCACUAGAUUAGUUACGGCAAGGAACAGAUUCGCCAGAACGAAUUCAGAUAAAGGGUAUGUAUCAGAUCAUGAAGUCGGUGUUCAUUCCAACCUUCCAUAUUCCUCUGCUCCCAGAAAUGACACCCAAACAAGGCUUCUGUAUCUCAGGUCAGCUUUCGUGGUCUUCAUCAAGAUUUCCUUUUGAAAAUAGAGUAUACCUGAGUGCGUGUCAAAUUGAGUUCAUCUUUGUUCAUUUGGUUGCAAGAGGAAUUACUAUAUAUAUACAAUUGAUAGGAAUAAGACGAUUGCUUUCAAUAGUUCUUUCCA